GACGAACGCUGGCGGCGUGCUUAACACAUGCAAGUCGAACGGUGAACCGGGCUUCGGCCCGGGGAUCAGUGGCGAACGGGUGCGUAACACGUGGGCAACCUGCCCCAGACACUGGGAUAACUCCGGGAAACCGGGGCUAAUACCGGAUACUCUCAGCCGACCGCAUGAUCGGCUGAGGAAAGCUCCGGCGGUCUGGGAUGGGCCCGCGGCCUAUCAGCUUGUUGGUGGGGUAACGGCCUACCAAGGCGACGACGGGUAGCUGGUCUGAGAGGACGGCCAGCCACACUGGGACUGAGACACGGCCCAGACUCCUACGGGAGGCAGCAGUGGGGAAUCUUGCACAAUGGGCGCAAGCCUGAUGCAGCGACGCCGCGUGGGGAUGAAUGCC
rnacentral:rRNA from 1 species